GAUGAACGCUAGCUACAGGCUUAACACAUGCCAGUCGCGGGGCAGCAUGGGGGUUGCUUGCAAUCCCCGAUGGCGACCGGCGCACGGGUGAGUAACGCGUAUCCAACCUGCCCUUCACCACGGGAUAACCCGGCGAAAGUCGGACUAAUACCGUAUGUUGUCCAUUGACGGCAUCCGAUUUGGACGAAAGGUUUGGCGGUGAAGGAGGGGGAUGCGUCCGAUUAGCUGGACGGCGGGGUGACGGCCCACCGUGGCGACGAUCGGUAGGGGUUCUGAGAGGGAGGUCCCCCACACUGGAACUGAGACACGGUCCAGACUCCUACGGGAGGCAGCAGUGAGGAAUAUUGGUCAAUGGGCGUAAGCCUGAACCAGCCAAGUAGCGUGCAGGAUGACGGCCCUAUGGGUUGUAAACUGCUUUUAUGCGGGGAUAAAGUGGCCCACGUGUGGGUUUUUGCAGGUACCGCAUGAAUAAGGACCGGCUAAUUCCGUG
rnacentral:rRNA from 1 species